rnacentral:lncRNA from 1 species
CAUCUGCUCUGUUGGAAAGCCGGGAGAUGCUUUUCCCGAGGGCUCUGAGUUCACUGCUCCUGCUCUGGCUCCACGAAGUUGCUCCUGUAGCUGUGAUGCACCUCGGGGGAGGCGCUGCCACCGCCUCGUGACCAGCUGAAAACUGCAGCCCUGCGCCCUCGACUCGCUGGAAUUGCUCAUUUCUGACGGUAUCUGGUGUAACUGAAUGCAGAAUGAAGUCGCAAUUUCAAAAAACCUUUAUAUCACCUCUUUCAACAAAAAAAAGCACUUAUAUAGAAAAAGGACGCGCAAAAAGUUUGUCGCCCUCGCCUUAUUGCCGAAAAUAGAGAGAAUUAGAGGAACCAAGACGCCACAAAGGAAAAGAAGGGCCAGAGAACCUGUUGCUCCCCCCUCCCCAUGCCCUGCCAGCCCCCCCGUGCUGCGCCCGCCGCCGGCUCCGCUCCCCCCGCGGCCGAGGCUCCUGUCACCAUCUCAGCAUCCUUUAAGCAACAACAACUACGUAAAACAGAAGGGAGGAGGAGGAGGAGGAGGAGGAGGAAGGGAGGUGGGAAAGAAAAAGCAAAAGAAACCCUUUAAUAUAACAGUUACACUAUGGUUAGGCUCUUGCUACAUACACAAAGAAUUCUGACUACGUGGCUACGAGACUAUGUCAAAAUGGCUACGAAAAGAUGUGGGUUUGGAAAGGUUUAAAAAGAGAGGGGGGGGAACCCAUCGAGAAAAUAAAACGAACAAGAAAUGGGUUUUAUAUACA